GCACCCCCGUGUUGGCUCCGUCUGACAGGUCCGGUUUCCAUGGUUACGGAGUACUUGCGGUAACUAGGCAACGACGCAAGGGGCUAGAGUUCACGUCACCGCUGCGGCCCACGUGACCGGAACUGAGUGCAGCCGCGGCUUCCGGCCUCGGGAUGCCGGCCGGCGGGAGCGCACGGGGAGGACCUCGCAUGGAUUCAGAGGGCACCCCCGUGUUGGCUCCGUCUGACAGGUCCGGUUUCCAUGGUUACGGAGUACUUGCGGUAACUAGGCAACGACGCAAGGGGCUAGAGUUCACGUCACCGCUGCGGCCCACGUGACCGGAACUGAGUGCAGCCGCGGCUUCCGGCCUCGGGAUGCCGGCCGGCGGGAGCGCACGGGGAGGACCUCGCAUGGAUUCAGAGGGCACCCCCGUGUUGGCUCCGUCUGACAGGUCCGGUUUCCAUGGUUACGGAGUACUUGCGGUAACUAGGCAACGACGCAAGGGGCUAGAGUUCACGUCACCGCUGCGGCCCACGUGACCGGAACUGAGUGCAGCCGCGGCUUCCGGCCUCGGGAUGCCGGCCGGCGGGAGCGCACGGGGAGGACCUCGCAUGGAUUCAGGUAUUUAUACCCCUAAGGAAAGUUGUUUUAGACAUGUAUGAUAUUGCUGAUUGUCACGUUGCACUUUUUGAAGCAUAGCACCUUGAGAAAAACGCCGGAUGGGCGUUGAAACGUCGGUGGCUUGCACUAUGCUGUACUAAUUUAUUUGCACUGUCAUUUUAAUACAAAGACCUUUUGCUUGCACCAAAUCCUUGGAGUGCCGCCUGGUUUCCUUCUGUAUGGACAAAAAUUGAAGGUACCCCCUGUUGUUCUAUACUAUUUGGAGGAGGGCACCCAGGUGGAUGACAGUUUGAAUGGGAGUGCCAUA